CCCUUAGGCGUUCUGGGCCGCACGCGCGCUACACUGACACAGGCAACGAGCUUUCCUUUACCGAAAGGUAUGGGUAAUCUUUUGAAACUGUGUCGUGCUGGGGAUAGAUCCUUGCAAUUUUUGAUCUUAAACGAGGAAUUCCUAGUAAGCGCGAGUCAUCAACUCGCGUUGAUUACGUCCCUGCCCUUUGUACACACCGCCCGUCGCUACUACCGAUUGAAUGGCUUAGUGAGGCCUCAGGAUCCGCGCUUAAUGUGUGGAGAAUUUGGACAAACUACGUCAUUUAGAGGAAGUAAAAGUCGUAACA
rnacentral:rRNA from 1 species